UACGUAGGGGGCGAGCGUUGUCCGGAUUUAUUGGGCGUAAAGAGCUCGUAGGCGGUUCGGUAAGUCAGAUGUAAAAACUCCAGGCUCAACUUGGAGAGGCCAUCUGAUACUGCCGUGACUAGAGUCCGGUAGAGGAGCACGGAAUUCCUGGUGUAGCGGUGAAAUGCGCAGAUAUCAGGAGGAACACCAGCGGCGAAGGCGGUGCUCUGGGCCGGAACUGACGCUGAGAAGCGAAAGCGUGGGUAGCAAACAGG
rnacentral:rRNA from 1 species